CCAUGCUCGAGACUCGUGUAAACAAAAUGUCAGAUAAAAGUCCACACCAACAUUCUGAGGCUAGAUGAUUAAAAACAAGUAUUUACGUCUUGUUCGCCACAAGAUUCAUUUGUGAUAUUCGGAUCGAAACUAGUAAAAAAUUCUAAUAAAAUACGAGCGUUAAUGAGCAUUUUGAAGACACCACAAUUCCGUAAGAUUUUGCCAAUUACAACUAUAAGUGACUCCAAAGGUACCAAUGGGAUAUUUAUGCUUAAAAAUAAAUUGACAACAUGACUAAAAAAGAGAAAGACAAAAAGCAGUUCACAGAACAAAACAUGGAAAACAAAAGACUGACCAACACGAACUCCACUAAAAACGGC
rnacentral:lncRNA from 1 species